GUUAAUGAACUUGUAUAAGUAUAUAUUUUGAAAAUAUAAAAAAGAAUGAAAACUUCUAUUAACUUAA
rnacentral:tRNA from 1 species